rnacentral:rRNA from 1 species
UACGGAGGGAGCUAGCGUUGUUCGGAAUUACUGGGCGUAAAGCGCACGUAGGCGGCUUUGUAAGUUAGAGGUGAAAGCCCGGGGCUCAACUCCGGAACUGCCUUUAAGACUGCAUCGCUUGAAUCCAGGAGAGGUGAGUGGAAUUCCGAGUGUAGAGGUGAAAUUCGUAGAUAUCUGGAGGAACACCGGUGGCGAAGGCGGCAUCCUGGACCGACACUGACGCUGAGGAGCGAAAGCCAGGGGAGCAAACAGG